rnacentral:rRNA from 1 species
GACGAACGCUGGCGGCGUGCUUAACACAUGCAAGUCGAACGGCAGCACGGGUGCUUGCACCUGGUGGCGAGUGGCGAACGGGUGAGUAAUACAUCGGAACGUACCUUAUCGUGGGGGAUAACGCAGCGAAAGUUGCGCUAAUACCGCAUACGCCCUGAGGGGGAAAGCGGGGGACCGUAAGGCCUCGCGCGAUUAGAGCGGCCGAUGUCUGAUUAGCUUGUUGGUGAGGUAAAAGCUCACCAAGGCGAUGAUCAGUAGCUGGUCUGAGAGGACGAUCAGCCACACUGGGACUGAGACACGGCCCAGACUCCUACGGGAGGCAGCAGUGGGGAAUUUUUGACAAUGGGGGCAACCCUGAUCCAGCAAUGCCGCGUGAGUGAAGAAGGCCUUCGGGUUGUAAAGCUCUUUUGUCAGGGAAGAAACAGCAGCUCUAACACAGUCUGCGAAUGACGGUACCUGAAGAAUAAGCACCGGCUAACUACGUGCCAGCCGCCGCAGUAA